rnacentral:rRNA from 1 species
UACGUAGGGUGCGAGCGUUAAUCGGAAUUACUGGGCGUAAAGCGUGCGCAGGCGGUGAUGUAAGACAGUUGUGAAAUCCCCGGGCUCAACCUGGGAACUGCAUCUGUGACUGCAUCGCUGGAGUGCGGCAGAGGGGGAUGGAAUUCCGCGUGUAGCAGUGAAAUGCGUAGAUAUGCGGAGGAACACCGAUGGCGAAGGCAAUCCCCUGGGCCUGCACUGACGCUCAU